rnacentral:rRNA from 1 species
UACGUAGGCAGCGAGCGUUGUUCGGAGUUACUGGGCGUAAAGAGUGCGUAGGCGGUUUUCUAAGUUUGGUGUGAAAUCUCCCGGCUCAACUGGGAGGGUGCGCCGAAGACUGGAAGGCUUGAGUAUGGGAGAGGUAAGCGGAAUUCCUGGUGUAGCGGUGAAAUGCGUAGAUAUCAGGAGGAACACCUGCGGUGUAGACGGCUUACUGGACCAGAACUGACGCUGAGGCACGAAAGCGUGGGUAGCAAACAGG